rnacentral:tRNA from 1 species
GAAUAACUAGCUCAGUUGGUAGAGCAUGAGACUCUUAAUCUCAGGGUCGUGUGUUCGAGCCCCACGGUGGGCA